UUUUACAAUUUGGGCAUUCUUUUCAGAUUUAUUCAAAAAAGCUCGUUAGGAAAAGGAUGAUCUUUUAAGAAACGACGAAUGUUAAUGGACCUGGCCUUAAUCUAUAAAAAUUCCUUUAACCGUUUAGACCAUUUUUGGUCCAUUUACCGAAAUUGGAUACAAACAAUGUCCAACUUGGGAUAUCAACGUCGUCAUCAUCAUCCUACAGCUACAAAUUAGUGCCGUGGUUGAGCUGGGACGAGUGGCUCUUCGUCGACGAAUCUCUCUUUUCGAAGUCACCUAAUUCUGUGGCCUCCGCUUUAAGAAGAAUAUCAGCAUGGAGAAGCAGAGGAUGUCUUCCUGUUGUAGUUGAAGUCACAUCAUCGAUUAUUGAAAUUCAGCAAAAAGAUCCUCACUUUAGAAAGGACCAGUCAAAUGAUGCUUUGGAUAAUUGCAGAGGGGAUCAAUCAAGUGAUGCUUCACUUUCAGACGAAUGCUGGCCAUGUUAUAUUGUAUGGCAAUAAUGAGGCUUGUGAAUGGUGUUGUUGAGAAGACACGGAAGAAAGCUGAGGUUUCCAUUGCUGUGGCUGCUGAUGCAAUUGGCAUUCCAUGCACACUGAUUGAUAUUCGUCAUGAGGGUUCUCACCGUGAACUUCCCGCAUUUGAGGUUGUACGUAGUGCUUCAGUUAAGGCCCUUGAUUGGUUGAAGUACUAUUACUGGGAGCCACAGAAGAAAGCAAUUCCAUUUCAUGGCAAUGAAACUGCUGGCAUCAAAACUGAGAUAAGGUCGAAAUUCCAUGAAUUGGCCUUCUGCUUAAGAGUUAAGAACACUCCUCACUUGCGUUCUUCAAAAAUGAAAGAAAAACGUGGUUCUAAGAAAGACCUUACCAAGAUAUUGAAAAGCCUUGUAGGGUUGUAUUCUGCCUUCUCCUCAGAAGUUGUUUCUGUACUGUUGGAGUUCUUGUUGAAGGCUAUAAAUUCCUCAGAUUCCUCAGAGCUUCCAGUAAACACCCAAAAUAGCCCAAGCCUACAAAUUUCAUUGAAUGAGUGGAAGCUUGUGAUAGCAAAAUUUUCAAAUAAGGAACCAGAGUUACUUCUGGCUCUUCUGAAUGCAGUUCUUGAUAUGAUUGAGAAUCAGGAAGCAGUGAUAUAUGAGACGGGCUGCUAGAUAUCAGGACAUGGAUGACAUUGUAAGCUUAGCAUCUGCUGGUGUUUUGCUUGAUUCGAUUCUAAGGAUUCUCAUACCCAAACAGCUUGUGACUGGAAGUAGAUAGGUGUGGAGCUGCAGGGUGAUUUUGGAAGGAUAGAGAUCUGAAGAGAUCUGUGAUAAAACAGUCCACAUCUGUAGUAAGUAGUAUAGACUUGCAGUUCUAUUUCCACAUAACUGCUGCAGUUCCAAAUUUCAAAAGCAGAAUCAAAACUUCCAAAUUGAGGUGAGCGGUUGCCGUUCAGUUUGUAUGAAAUAACUUUCUUUGUUAAUCUCCUACUUGUAUUCUAUUGAUUGGGUUCUUAACCAUAUUUGAAUUCCCACCUUUUUUAAUUCAUUGAAAAGUUGUACUAGAGUUUCGUCACCAAAAAAAUUGUGGAGUUAUAGAGAAUUUUUUGUACCAAAAAAGAACUAUUUCACUUCACCUUUAUUCCUGGCUUUCAGGUUGGUUUUCGGAUGUUUUCAUCCUCUCCUUUGUACUCUUAUGGUGUUCAAAUAAAGCAUCUUUCCCAACAAAAAACAAAAAAGAAGCAAAAACACAACCAUGAUAAGCACAAAAGCUGCUU